UCCUCAGAGAUAUUGGGGUGAAGGAAGC
rnacentral:piRNA from 1 species